UGGGGAAUAUUGCACAAUGGGCGCAAGCCUGAUGCAGCCAUGCCGCGUGUGUGAAGAAGGCCUUCGGGUUGUAAAGCACUUUCAGCGAGGAGGAAGGUGGUGAGCUUAAUACGCUCAUCAAUUGACGUUACUCGCAGAAGAAGCACCGGCUAACUCCGUGCCAGCAGCCGCGGUAAUACGGAGGGUGCAAGCGUUAAUCGGAAUUACUGGGCGUAAAGCGCACGCAGGCGGUUUGUUAAGUCAGAUGUGAAAUCCCCGGGCUCAACCUGGGAACUGCAUUUAAAACUGGCAAGCUAGAGUCUCGUAGAGGGGGGUAGAAUUCCAGGUGUAGCGGUGAAAUGCGUAGAGAUCUGGAGGAAUACCGGUGGCGAAGGCGGCCCCCCUGGACGAAGGCACUGACGCUCAGGUGCGAAAGCGUGGGGCAGCAAACAGGAUUAGAUACCCUGGUAGUCCACGCUGUAAACGAUGUCGAUUUUGGAGGUUGUGCCCCUUGAGGCGUGGCUUCCGGAGCUAACGCGUUAAAUCGACCGCCUGGGGAGUACGGCCGCAAGGUUAAAACUCAAAGGAAUUGAC
rnacentral:rRNA from 1 species